CUGACCUCGAAUCAGGUGGGACUACCCGCUGAACUUAAGCAUAUCAAUAAGCGGAGGAAAAGAAACUAACANGGAUUCCCCUAGUACGGCGAGUGAAGCGGGAUGAGCUCAAAUUUAAAUCUGGUAGCCUUUGGUUGCCCGAGUUGUAAUCUA
rnacentral:rRNA from 1 species